GAUGAACGCUGGCGGCGCGCCUAACACAUGCAAGUCGAACGAUUAAAGCACCUUCGGGUGUGUAUAAAGUGGCGAACGGCUGAGUAACACGUGGGCAACCUGCCCCUUUCAUUGGGAUAGCCACGGGAAACCGUGGAUAAUACCGAAUACUUCGAGACUUCCGCAUGGAAGACUCGAGAAAGCUCCGGCGGAGAGGGAUGGGCCCGCGGCCUGUUAGCUUGUUGGUGGGGUAACGGCCUACCAAGGCAAUGAUGGGUAGCUGGGUUGAGAGACCGACCAGCCAGAUUGGGACUGAGACACGGCCCAGACUCCUACGGGAGGCAGCAGUGGGGAAUCUUGCACAAUGGGCGAAAGCCUGAUGCAGCGACGCCGCGUGCGGGAUGAAGGCCUUCGGGUUGUAAACCGCUUUCAGCAGGGACGAGGCGAAAGUGACGGUACCUGCGGAAGAAGCCCCGGCUAACUACGUG
rnacentral:rRNA from 1 species